rnacentral:rRNA from 1 species
GUGGGGAAUCUUGCGCAAUGGGCGAAAGCCUGACGCAGCCAUGCCGCGUGAAUGAUGAAGGUCUUAGGAUUGUAAAAUUCUUUCACCGGGGACGAUAAUGACGGUACCCGGAGAAGAAGCCCCGGCUAACUUCGUGCCAGCAGCCGCGGUAAUACGAAGGGGGCUAGCGUUGCUCGGAAUUACUGGGCGUAAAGGGCGCGUAGGCGGACAGCUUAGUCAGAGGUGAAAGCCCAGGGCUCAACCUUGGAAUUGCCUUUGAUACUGGCUGUCUUGAGUUUGGGAGAGGUGAGUGGAACGCCGAGUGUAGAGGUGAAAUUCGUAGAUAUUCGGAAGAACACCAGUGGCGAAGGCGACUCACUGGCCCAAUACUGACGCUGAGGCGCGAAAGCGUGGGGAGCAAACAGGAUUAGAAACCCCUGUAGUCC